CGAUUUCCUGAGUAGCGGCGAGCGAAACGGAAAAUAGCCCAAACCAAGAGGCUUGCCUCUUGGGGUUGUAGGACACUCUAUACGGAGUUACAAAGGAACGAAGUAAGUGAAGCGACCUGGAAAGGUCCGUCAGAGAAGGUAAAAACCCUGUAGCUGAAACUUCGUUCCCUCCAGAGUGGAUCCUGAGUACGGCGGGACACGAGAAAUCCCGUCGGAAGCUGGGAGGACCAUCUCCCAAGGCUAAAUACUCCCUAGUGACCGAUAGUGAACCAGUACCGUGAGGGAAAGGUGAAAAGCACCCCGGAAGGGGAGUGAAAGAGAACCUGAAACCGUGUGCCUACAAGUAGUCAGAGCCCGUUUAUGGGUAAUGGCGUGCCUUUUGUAGAAUGAACCGGCGAGUUACGAUUUCAUGCAAGGUUAAGUUGAUGAGACGGAGCCGCAGCGAAAGCGAGUCUGAAUAGGGCGUUUUGAGUAUGAGGUCGUAGACCCGAAACCAGGUGAUCUACCCAUGUCCAGGGUGAAGUUCAGGUAACACUGAAUGGAGGCCCGAACCCACGCACGUUGAAAAGUGCGGGGAUGAGGUGUGGGUAGCGGAGAAAUUCCAAUCGAACCUGGAGAUAGCUGGUUCUCUCCGAAAUAGCUUUAGGGCUAGCCUCGAGUUUGAGAGUAUUGGAGGUAGAGCACUGAUUGGACUAGGGGCCCCUAUCGGGUUACCGAAUUCAGUCAAACUCCGAAUGCCAAAUACUUAUACUCGGGAGUCAGACUGCGAGUGAUAAGAUCCGUAGUCAAAAGGGAAACAGCCCAGACCACCAGCUAAGGUCCCCAAGUUUAUGUUAAGUGGAAAAGGAUGUGGGGUUGCUUAGACAACCAGGAUGUUGGCUUAGAAGCAGCCACCAUUUAAAGAGUGCGUAAUAGCUCACUGGUCGAGUGACCCCGCGCCGAAAAUGUACCGGGGCUAAACAUAACACCGAAGCUGUGGAUGGACAUCUCAGAUGUCCGUGGUAGGAGAGCGUUCUAAGGGCGUUGAAGUCAGACCGGAAGGACUGGUGGAGCGCUUAGAAGUGAGAAUGCCGGUAUGAGUAGCGAAAGAAGGGUGAGAAUCCCUUCCACCGAAUGCCUAAGGUUUCCUGAGGAAGGCUCGUCCGCUCAGGGUUAGUCGGGACCUAAGCCGAGGCCGAAAGGCGUAGGCGAUGGAUAACAGGUUGAUAUUCCUGUACCACCAAGCAUCGUUUGAAUGAUGGGGGGACGCAGGAGGAUAGGGUAAGCGCGCUGUUGGAUAUGCGCGUCCAAGCAGUUAGGCUGGAAACGAGGCAAAUCCCGUUUCCGUGAAGGCUGAGCUGUGAUGGCGAGGGAAAUAUAGUACCGAAGUUCCUGAUUCCACACUGCCAAGAAAAGCCUCUAGUGAGAUGUAAGGUGCCCGUACCGCAAACCGACACAGGUAGGCGAGGAGAGAAUCCUAAGGUGUGCGAGAGAACUCUCGUUAAGGAACUCGGCAAAAUGACCCCGUAACUUCGGGAGAAGGGGUGCUUUUUAGGGUGAAUAGCC
rnacentral:rRNA from 1 species